rnacentral:rRNA from 1 species
AUUGAACGCUGGCGGCAGGCCUAACACAUGCCAGUCGAGCGAGCGGCGGACGGGUGAGUAAUGUCUGGGGAUCUGCCCGAUAGAGGGGGAUAACUACUGGACACGGUGGCUAAUACCGCAUACUAUCGGAUGAACCCAGAUGGGAUUGGCUAGUAGGUGGGUUAACGGCUCACCUAGGCGACGAUCUCUAGCUGGUCUGAGAGGAUGAUAAGCCACACUGGAACGUAGACACGGCCCAGACUCCUACGGUAGGCAGCAGUGGGUAAUAUUGCACAAGGGGCGCAAGCCUGAUGCAGCCAUGCCGCGUGUAUGAAGAAGGCCUUAGGUGUGUAAAGUACUUUCAGCGGGGAGGCGUUACCCGCAGAAGAAGCACCGGCUAACUCCGUGCCAGCAGCCGCGGUAAUAC